rnacentral:rRNA from 1 species
UACGAAGGGGGCUAGCGUUGUUCAGAAUUACUGGGCGUAAAGGGCGCGUAGGCGGCGUGUCAAGUCUGUCGUGAAAGCCCCGGGCUCAACCUGGGAAUGGCGAUGGAUACUGGCUCGCUAGAGUGCGGUAGAGGAGAGUGGAAUUCCCGGUGUAGCAGUGAAAUGCGUAGAGAUCGGGAGGAACAUCAGUUGCGAAGGCGGCUCUCUGGACCAGCACUGACACUGAGGCACGAAAGCGUGGGGAGCAAACAGG